CUGAAGAAUGAGCAAAGCUGUGUGCAGAUCAGCUGGGAUUCCGUGAGCCUCCUAAACAGCUAUAGUGCAUCCUUCCAGUGCACACUACAGCUCUUGGUUCAAAUGGAUGAAACCAAACUUAUCCAUGGCCUUUCAUCUUAGGAUAUGCUGAAACAGUCACGGGGAGGCCCUCUCCUUCUUGCGAUCACAUCUUCAGGAAAUAUUCUUGGUUAAGAGUGGAAAGUGAGCUUCCAUGAGGGACUGUGCACUGUUGGGUCGAAGAGCUCAAGAACACUGCUCACUUUUCAGAUGCAGAAAGGCUCCCUUCACCACGCCUGCUGGAAAGGCAACUCUUAUGACACCUUGACUGCUUUCUACUAUUCAGUUUCAAGAUUAGUAAUGGAUUCUCACAUAAAUUCCAGUAGAUAAAUUUCUUUGUGCUCUUAAGAUAACACAGGAUCCCUCCUGACUCAGGAUUCGGUUGCUGCAUGCUCUGUAGAGUCCAUGUGAGCAUUGGCCAGGUGAAAGUCCCUGAUGGGAUUUAUCUCCUUUCUUAGAGAUGGCUUAUUCUCCAUGACUGACUCAUCAUCUUUUGGUGUGGGAUACAGAGCUCAUGUAUUUGGACCGAGGGGAACAUAGUGAUGGAUCCGAUAACACAGCCACUGCACAGAAAUCAGUUAAUAAAUCAACGAGACAGAAAUCUGUAGGAAACCCUGAACCAUCCUCUUUCAUGAGCAGACUUCAAGCAAAUGCUGUGGGCAUGAAUGCAAAGCAGUCGGAAAUACCUCACCCUGCCAUGGCACUGUCAACUAGGCCCAUUCUACUGACAGCAAGAAAUAAGUUUUUACAGGGAGUAUAAGAAGCACCCAAAAUACAUGGAAAGGGGACUUGUGAUUGUUCAUCCAAAGUUUCCUUCCAGAGAGGAAUAUGACUAAAGGUCAUUACCAGAAAGUGAGAAUUGUGAAGGAGAUACUGCAUUCUCACAAGGAGGGCUGGAUAAAUGAAGUCUGUUCUGCAGACCCAAUGUAUCAUGAAG
ensembl:lncRNA